GCACUCCUACGGGAGGCAGCAGUGGGGAAUAUUGCACAAUGGGCGCAAGCCUGAUGCAGCCAUGCCGCGUGUAUGAAGAAGGCCUUCGGGUUGUAAAGUACUUUCAGCAGUGAGGAAGGUGGUGUCGUUAAUAGCGGCAUCAUUUGACGUUAGCUGCAGAAGAAGCACCGGCUAACUCCGUGCCAGCAGCCGCGGUAAUACGGAGGGUGCGAGCGUUAAUCGGAAUUACUGGGCGUAAAGCGCAUGCAGGUGGUUUGUUAAGUCAGAUGUGAAAGCCCGGGGCUCAACCUCGGAAUUGCAUUUGAAACUGGCAGACUAGAGUACUGUAGAGGGGGUAGAAUUUCAGGUGUAGCGGUGAAAUGCGUAGAGAUCUGAAGGAAUACCGGUGGCGAAGGCGGCCCCCUGGACAGAUACUGACACUCAGAUGCGAAAGCGUGGGGAGCAAACAGGAUUAGAUACCCUGGUAG
rnacentral:rRNA from 1 species